rnacentral:rRNA from 1 species
CCUACGGGGGGCAGCAGUGGGGAAUAUUGGACAAUGGGGGCAACCCUGAUCCAGCCAUGCCGCGUGUGUGAAGAAGGCCCUCGGGUUGUAAAGCACUUUCAGUGAGGAAGAACGCCUGGUGGUUAAUACCCAUCAGGAAAGACAUCACUCACAGAAGAAGCACCGGCUAACUCCGUGCCAGCAGCCGCGGUAAUACGGAGGGUGCGCGCGUUAAUCGGAAUUACUGGGCGUAAAGCGCGCGUAGGUGGCUUGAUAAGCCGGUUGUGAAAGCCCCGGGCUCAACCUGGGAACGGCAUCCGGAACUGUCAAGCUAGAGUGCAGGAGAGGAAGGUAGAAUUCCCGGUGUAGCGGUGAAAUGCGUAGAGAUCGGGAGGAAUACCAGUGGCGAAGGCGGCCUUCUGGACUGACACUGACACUGAGGUGCGAAAGCGUGGGUAGCAAACAGGAUUAGAUACCCUUGUAGUC